GACGAACGCUGGCGGCGUGCUUAACACAUGCAAGUCGAACGGAAAGGCCCUGCUUUUGUGGGGUGCUCGAGUGGCGAACGGGUGAGUAACACGUGAGUAACCUGCCCUUGACUUUGGGAUAACUUCAGGAAACUGGGGCUAAUACCGGAUAGGAGCUCCUGCUGCAUGGUGGGGGUUGGAAAGUUUCGGCGGUUGGGGAUGGACUCGCGGCUUAUCAGCUUGUUGGUGGGGUAGUGGCUUACCAAGGCUUUGACGGGUAGCCGGCCUGAGAGGGUGACCGGCCACAAUGGGACUGAGAUACGGCGCAGACGCCUACGGGAGGCAGCAGUGGGGAAUAUUGCACAAUGGGCGGAAGCCUGAUGCAGCAACGCCGCGUGCGGGAUGACGGCCUUCGGGUUGUAAACCGCUUUCGCCUGUGACGAAGCGUGAGUGACGGUAAUGGGUAAAGAAGCACCGGCUAACUACGUG
rnacentral:rRNA from 1 species